rnacentral:rRNA from 1 species
UACGUAGGGUGCAAGCGUUAAUCGGAAUUACUGGGCGUAAAGCGUGCGCAGGCGGCUUUGCAAGUCUGGUGUGAAAUCCCCGGGCUUAACCUGGGAACUGCGUUGGAGACUGCAAGGCUGGAGUCUGGCAGAGGGGGGUGGAAUUCCACGUGUAGCAGUGAAAUGCGUAGAGAUGUGGAGGAACACCGAUGGCGAAGGCAGCCCCCUGGGUUAACACUGACGCUCAGGCACGAAAGCGUGGGGAGCAAACAGG